GAUCCUGGCUCAGAAUCAACGCUGGCGGCGUGCCUAACACAUGCAAGUCGCACGAGAAAGGGUAGCAAUACCUGAGUAAAGUGGCGCACGGGUGAGUAACACGUGAAUUAUCUACCUCCGAGUGGGGAAUAACUGAGAGAAAUCUUAGCUAAUACCGCAUAACACUUACGAGUCAAAGCAGUAAUGCGCUUGGAGAGGAGUUCGCGGCAGAUUAGUUAGUUGGCGGGGUAAUGGCCCACCAAGACGAUGAUCUGUAUCCGGCCUGAGAGGGCGCACGGACACACUGGAACUGAAACACGGUCCAGACUCCUACGGGAGGCAGCAGUGGGGAAUUUUGCGCAAUGGGGGAAACCCUGACGCAGCAACGCCGCGUGGAGGAUGAAAUCCCUUGGGAUGUAAACUCCUUUCGAUAGGGAAGAUUAUGACGGUACCUAUAGAAGAAGCCCCGGCUAACUUCGUGCCAGCAGCCGUGGUAAUACGAGGGGGGCAAGCGUUGUUCGGAUUUAUUGGGCGUAAAGGGUGCGUAGGCGGUUUGGCAAGUCUUGUGUGAAAUCUUUGGGCUCAACCCAAAGCCUGCACAAGAAACUGCCGGGCUUGAGUAUGGGAGAGGUGAGUGGAAUUUCCGGUGUAGCGGUGAAAUGCGUAGAUAUCGGAAGGAACACCUGUGGCGAAAGCGGCUCACUGGACCAU
rnacentral:rRNA from 1 species